UACACUUUUGGUUCUGUUGGUGUUUUCCACCAACAGGGCCCAUGCACUUGAUCUCUGCCUUGUCUCUAUGAGCAGGUACACUUUAAGCAAAACAUGGAAGAGUUUUACAACUCCCAGACUCCAUCAAGUGAAGAACCUAGAUCUACGAGCACAAACACACUGGAGAGACUGGACACUCAGGCAAUCACUGCCCUAAGAUGCUUGAGGACGUAACUACUGGAGUAACCCAUGGAAGUAAUUACUGACCUUCUGCCGGUCAAGAGAGACAAUCCAGGACGCCCCGUCAUCCCGAUCUCCAUCAGGCAUGGUGGACUUCCUAGAAGCACUCUGCGACUAUGGCUCCAGCAUCAACAUUAUGCCUAGGGUACUCUAUGAAAAAUUCUUUACACAUCCUUUACUAGAAACAACCACGUGUUUAUAGCUUGCAGAUCAGACACUAAGUUUCCCAAAGGGAAUAUUGAAGAACCUCUGCGUCCGAGUUGGUACCUUGUACGCCCCAGCAGACUUCGUGGUGAUAGAGACUGGUACUGAUGAGAGGGCACCCAUCCUAGGGAGGCCAUUCCUGAACACCUCAGGAGCUGUCAUCUACGCUAGUGCUGCCAAGAUCAAUUUCUACAUCAAGGGGAGGAAGGAGACGUUUUCCUUCAAGAACAAGACUACACAAAUCUCAGAGCAAUCCCGACAUGAACCAAGGAAGAGGAUCAACAGGGGGAGCAGGAACAAGCAAAUGUGGACUGAGUCAGCUAAGAUGGUCACUGCAGCUCAACGAGGUCAAGAUCGUCGACUUAAGUCACCGUUCCUGACCAAAAAGGAUGCCGCAAUCACUUAACAGCUCCUGCAUGGAACCAUGUCCCUACAACCAACAUACAUUCAGCUCCAGAUGAUUUUAAGGUUAUUGACAUGGGAGAAGACAAGUACGAUCCAUCCAUCAUCCUUAGGAGACCGUUCCUCAGCACCGCUAAAGCAAUCAUCAACAUUGGAAUUGGAGAAGUCCACAUGCACUUCCCCUCUGAGAAGGUACGCUGCUAUUUUACUGACCCUAAUUAUAUAGUUGAAGACUCUAAGCAGGUCAGGGCAAGAAGAAUACGACGCAACCGCAACUAGAGGAGGCAAAUCAUCAAGGACGGAUGGGCAGACUAUGAAGGAGAAGUCGUAAGUUCUGAAGACAUACAGCUUGAACAGAACUGUCCGGAGGAGACCGUAGCACCGAGUCAGGUGUGCAGAAAGAAGAUAGUUAUACACGAAGAGCAGGCGCCGCCGGAACCACCGACUACGCCAUCCAGCGAAUCCCAAGACGACUGAGAAAACGGAGAAUCCCGUUCGGAGGACUUAAAAACACCGAACGUCUUGCCAAGAGGUAAACUUGGUAGUUAUCCUUUUCUUUUCAUUUAUCUUAAAAUAGUUUGCUUAGUUAAUCAGGUUCAUAUCAUCUCGAAAAGAAAAUAAAAAUGUUAAAAAUAGUAAGCCCCAUGUGAGUAUGCUCAUGGCAUAAAACCCAUAAGUACAUUCACUGUGGUGGCAUAAAAAUGAAAUAAAUAUAUUCCUGUCUUAUAAAAAUAAAAUUAUAAAAAUAGAUUUAUGAUCCCACUAAAAAGUGUAAUAUUUAUUGAGGAGACUCAACAUGAUAAAGGCUAGAUAUUUAUGCUAACACUUAACUAGUUCCACAAGCUUUGUUGUCUAUUUGAGCUCCACAGAAUUCAAAGAUCAAAGAAGACUAGCAGACGGAGGACAUCCUAGUCGCCGUCAGGGUGCUGCUGACAUUCAAAUAUACCUUCGCCACCUACUAGCUACAUCAGAAGGAAUUACGUCAAAACCCAGCUUGGGGGAGAGCACCUCCAUUUAUCCAGCUAAGUAUUCUACUCACGUUUAUAUUUUACUCAAAUAAUAAAAAGAUGCAUAAUCAUAAAAACCCAAAUAAAGAUUUUGUGCUUAUAUAUAUAUCUUUGCUUAGUUUGCUAAAUAAAUAAAUAAAUAAAAUUUGCUAUGAACCCUCAUGAUAAGCUCUCACAUGGAAAUGAUGAAUAGUUGCUCUACCAUAAUUAGUUCUCAAAAUUGAAAUCUCUCUCAAGUUUAGGCAUGACUGUUAUUAAUUAAGAUUUGCUCUAAACCUGAACUUGUGGGAAGAGUACUUGAUCUGAAGUCUAAGUCGUUAACGGAUAUGAUAUGGGAAGGUUGAGCUGCUGUUUAUCUGUUCCUAGAGAUGCUAGAAUUCUGGAGAAUUUUAUCUUUCAAAAUCUUUAAAAUGUUGCAUGAUGAGUUCCUGUAUGAUGAGAGUUUAAAAUCCUACCACAGCCAUAUAUACAUGCUUGCUAGACUUUGAGCCACACAUUUACUUUUUACUGCUUAUGAGCAUUGAGUGUGGUCAAGCUGUGUAGACCCUUAGGAACUUGUCAUGUGGUUAAAAUCAAGAUUCACUUGCACGUUCACUCAUAUAUGCUGCUUCCACUCCGGAAGUACCAUCCACAUAUAUCCACCCAUUUCCAUCUCUAGAACCACCCAAAAAUAUUCUACUCCUAAUCUGGGAGAGAAUAGCCAAAAACAUUCUCCUAUUUCUGUUAUUUCCCGUGAAAUAAAUGCUCAAGUUAUCUUGGUUACUACCACUUGCUAUAUUAUUUCAAGAGAUGAAUGCUCUAAAAAAAAGAAGAAAAAAAAAUACGAGGAAAUAAAAAGGGGCAAGUGCCCGGAACCUCAAAAGAAAAAAAAGUGAGACGAGAGGUAAAAAUGGACAAGUGUCCGACAGUAGAAUUAGGGGUACAAGAUACCCACCUGAGAGAAAAAAAUAUAUAUAUAGAGCAUCUCAUUGUCCUGAAAAAGUUUCAAAAGAGCAAGGAAGGUAUGUAUCCCCUCAAAAGAGCAUAAGUAGAAUUAGACUUUCACCAUUGUUAACACCAUCAUCACCAUACACCAUUCAUUCGCCACACAUGCACAUCUUGAUUUGACUUAUUGACUUGUUCUUCUGGAUCCAUGGUUUGACUUUGCAAUAAAUGUCUUCUAAGUAUGUAUUAGCUGUCUCCCACCUAUGAGCUCCAGAUAUCAAAAGCCUUAUUAGAGUAGGGUGAGAGAGAAGGCAAUACCACUAUGCCUUAUACCACAAAUACCACAUACUUUUAGAGAAGGCAUACACCAUUAAUGCCUUGGUAAGGAUCCAGAAAUACCACAAAAGAGAGACUAGAGAGAGUCAUACAAGGAAUCUCUGAGUUUUAUUUGAAAAUCUGCAAAAACUCCAGAGCUAUAGCUGAUCAAGAAUAAGAGACAUGGUGCUUGACUAGACCGUUCUAUCUUUUAACUACUCAAGACAGAACUGACGGUUACAAGUCCCAUGGUGAAAGGUAAUGAGUAAGUUUUAAGUCUUAACAGUUUACUCUAACCCAGAGAUGAGAUCUUGUUUGAACGCAUGUGUAUCUUUAAGGCAUGAAACCACUGCAGAAACUCUUGAGUUCAUCUUUGCUCAGGGACGAGCAAAGGUUAAGUUUGGGGGAGGUUGUUGACGGUCCUUAAUGCUCACAUUUAACCAUCAACUAAUCAUGGAAAAGGAUCUAAAUGGAACCAACACCUAGACUUAGGGUUUUAUCUGACAAAAUUCCACGAGUUUUGGUGUUUGUCUAUUUCUGCAGGGGGUUAUCAGGAAAUACGGAGGAAAGGCCCACACGUCGGGUUUACAUAGAGAUAUUAACGUGCUGCGCAAUUAUCUUACAUCUAGAAGACUCCAGAAGCCACGAGACCGAAGCGGAGGCGAAACGGGGCCAGAGACAGGGCGCCCGCCCUGUCCUACUGGGCGCCCGCCCACCUCCUGAGUCCAAUCAGGACUCUGCUUUGCGGGAGAUCUCCACCGACCUAAAGGAUCAAGGAUAACCGUUCAAUCUAAGUCGGUUUGAUCCAACGGCCCAUAUUCACUUGAAGGGACUAUAAAACCAUACCCCCCUGGCCCCUGGAGAUCAUACCUCUUCUACAGAAUCAAAGCUAGGGUUUCAAUUCUUCAUCCAAGUAGAGAGGAUCCCUCUAGUUCUUCUAGUUCUACCUCUAGUUCAUCUAGAUCUAGUUCUAGUUCAUCUAGUUCUAGUUCUAGUUCCUCUAGUUCUAGUUCUAGUUAGUUCUAGUUGUAAUCUAGAAAAAUAGGGAGAGAGAAGAGGAGAGCGGAGGAGGAGCCGGAUCUGUCGGAUCUUCCACAACAUUGUACCUUUGCAGCAUCUGGUUCGUUCUUCAUCGUUCUCCAGGUUCUUCAAUUCAUAAUCCUGAGUUCUCUAAUUACUUUUAUUUACAUUCAAGUUAUUUAUUGGAUUCCCGCUUGCAUCAAGUGCUCUAGUCUUUAUAACGCUAGAGUAGUAAUUAAUAGAUUAGACGUGGUGUUUAGUCUUGCAAUUACCUGGAAUUGCACCCAAUCCUGCGGAUUGUUGUGGUAGCCUUAGGGUAGUGACAGCCCUAACGGUCGACGUAUUCCACCUC
rnacentral:lncRNA from 1 species